UUGGCAAGGUGAAGCCUAUUAGAGCAAAACAUUUUACUAAGAAGUCUAACUUCAGCUGCAACUCUUACUUCUACUGUUACAAUUAUUAUUCAGAAUAAUAAAAAUAAUGUAAAAAGAAAGAAACACCCUGACAUUGCUUAGUAAGAACAAAACAGAAUGCAUGUCUAUGUGGAGUGCUGAAACAUCUGUGACCUAUUUAUUCACCCAAAAUGAAGAAGAUGUAUAGUGGGGGGAGAAAAUUCAUCUUGUUGACUUGUUUCCAAAAUUUUCUGGGAUUAUACUUUUUCUGUUCACUUCAUUAGAUACACUUCUUCAUGCCCCAAUUUCUUUUAAAGCUUUCCAGAGUUUGUUUGUUUUUUAAUUAAAGCAAACUACACCAAACAAA